UCAAGUAUAUUGCUGGAGGGGCUACACAAAAUGCAAUCAGGGUUGCCCAUUGGAUGCUUCAAACUCCUGGUGCAACUAGCUUUAUGGGUUGCAUUGGAAAGGACAAGUUUGGUGAAGAAAUGAAGAUAG